GGGAAAGCAGGGGGCACAGAAAGCGGGGACAAAGUGGGGAGUGUGGGGGAACACCCAGGACUAGUUGGGGCGGGAAGAGGCCAGGGUCAGGGAUAGGAGCCGCGCCUUCCCACCCGAGCAGGUCCCUAAGGGGUGGACUCACCGAACCACCGAGCACCUCACCUGGCCUCUGCAACUCCAGCCGCACACCUGGCUCGUCCCCGGGCAGGCCCCUCCCCAACAGGCCCCGCCCAAUGUCAGAGCGCAAGUCGGGAGUCCCCAGGGUGGGCGGGACCAGGGGUCAGGGGCCCCUUUCUGAGGAGCCUCACAUGGAACUCCACUUGAAGUUUUCCCAGUAGAUGAGGCAGCUCCACAACCCAGCUGCCCCUGUGUGAAGCGAUCAUGGUCCUGGGGAACAUUUGUGGAGCAGCUAAGACAGAGCAGAUAAGACACCACUCACCUCUAGAGGGUGUUGUGACUUCAGGGGACAAUCGAUAUAAACCAUCAUCUCCAGUUUCCAGAAAUAACUGGGUCUCAGCCAAGCAGCACAGGCUGCCUCGGAGGGCAGGCUCCUCCAGGGGAUCUGAUGGACCUUGCUGAAUGGAGAGGAAGAGAAAACAGGGCUUGCCGCAUCUACCAUCCCCAUCCUAGUGAGGAAGCUUGGCUCACUGUGGGUGCUUAGUGAGCGUCGAAACCAUCCCCGCCGACCUUUGCUGAGCACACAGUUGAAGCCCUGUGACAGAAGACAGCGCAACGAGCAGAUGUUUAUGAAGUCGGAGGCUUCUUCUUUUUUUUUUUUUUCUCCCCAAGCAGCGAGUUCUAAGUUAAUGAGCAUGCCUGGGUGGAGCGCUGGAGACAGGAGAAAGACCAGGCCACCAGCAGAGGUCCAGGAUUUCCUGUUUGUGUUCUCGCCACCGGCGGCUCGCCUAGCCAGCUGCAGGAGCUGCAAUCUUCCAGGAAGCCUGCAUUUCCGCGCUGCUGACGCAGGGGGACAGGCAGGCAGAAAGGAAUCUGGGCGUCCCCCAGCCACUCCCUCUGCAGGCCAAGCUACUGUAACCCACCGAUCAAGCGCCUGCUUUCUGCUGGUAGCGGAGACAAGGUCAUGCUCUUGUUUUAGAACAGAGGCCGUCCUGACAUCACGCGGAGGAAUCCUGGUGCUUUCUCCUGGUGUGUUCUGUGGGACACUGUGGCCCAGUGUGGAAACCCUUUUGAUUCCCAGCUGAGUGGCCCCUGCUCUGGAUAUCCUACUGACUAAAACAGUUAUUACCU